GCUAACUAGGUUCCAAGCAACUUCAAUCCCGUCUACUUCGUCAAACGCCUUAU
rnacentral:sRNA from 1 species